rnacentral:tRNA from 1 species
GCCAGUGUGGCAUAGUGGUUUGAGCACUGGACUAUGACUCUGGAGACCAGGGUUUGAAUCCUGGCCCAGCCA